rnacentral:lncRNA from 1 species
UUGAAAGUAUUCCCUGCUUUCCAGGCGGGCUCCUGACUGCUAAUUUGAAAGUACUCCCUGCUCUCCAGGCAGGCUCCUGACUUCAACAAAGAAUUCGACAACUAAAAUUUAAAUUGUACUCCCUUGUUCUCCAGGCGGGCUCCUGAUUACUACGCUUGAAAGCAUUCCCUGCUCUCCAGGCGGGCUCCUGACUUCAACUUGAAAUGUAUUCCCUGCUCUCCAGGGGGCUCCUAACUUCAAAAUAAACAAAACAAAGAAUUUGAAAGCUAAAAUGUAAAUGAUACUCCGUUGUUCUCCAGGCGGGCUCCUGACUUCGACUUGAAAGUACUCCCUGCUCUCCAGGCGGGUUCCUGACCUCAAAAAUAGACAAAACAAAGAGUUUGAAUGCUAAACUUAAAUUGUACUCCCUUGUUCUCCAGGCGGGCUCCUGACUGCUACGUUUGAAAGUAUUCCCUGCUCUCCAGGCGGGCUCCUGACUUCAACUUGAAAGUACUCCCUUCUCUCUAGGCGGGUUCCUGACUUCAAAAAUAGACAAAACAGAGAGUUUGAAGGCUAAAGCUU